CCUGUGCCUAUUUCAUCAUGCCUUUGGCUGCUCUAAAUCUCAGUUUUUAAGUUCAACCUAAGCAUGUCUUUACCUAAGCCCGUCUCCUCAUAUUCCAAAAUUGCUCUUCUGCUUUCUAAGUUUCUGCUAUCAAAGUGCUCAUUACUCUGGGGAUACCUCAACUGGAGUUUAGGAGGGAAGUAAUUUAAGCAACUGCACACUCUCCAUAAAGGACUUAAUUGUUAAACUAAUUUUGUUAGUUAUUUACCUUUCAAAAUGGUCUUGUUAACCAAAGUGAAUCUUGAUGUGGUGGAAUUUCACACCUGAGAAGUAAGAAUGAGACAUAGUUAGGCAAUGCAAAGAAUAGAUGUUUAAGAGUGGGAUUCUCUCCAUGUUUAUCAUGUGUGCUUUACGUGAGGUUAGAUAACUGCAAAUAUUGAUCAAACUGUUCAUAAUGUUAUCAUCACUGCCCUGUGGAAUAUCUAUCAAUACAAUAAUUUUGAGAUGACAUAGAU
rnacentral:lncRNA from 1 species